rnacentral:rRNA from 1 species
UACGAAGGGGGCUAGCGUUGUUCGGAAUUACUGGGCGUAAAGCGCGCGCAGGCGGCUAUCCAAGUCAGUGGUGAAAGCCCGGAGCUCAACUCCGGAACUGCCAUUGAAACUGUUUAGCUGGAGUAUGAGAGAGGUGAGUGGAAUUCCCAGUGUAGAGGUGAAAUUCGUAGAUAUUGGGAAGAACACCGGUGGCGAAGGCGGCUCACUGGCCCGGUACUGACGCUGAGGUGCGAAAGCGUGGGGAGCAAACAGG